rnacentral:lncRNA from 1 species
AGUGGAGAGUGUUUCAAGAGGAGGAACUGGGACUGAGGGCUCUCCACCUCAUUAGUGGUCAUGAAAUUCAAACGUGAAGAAGUGCCCCAGCAGGACUCUACAUUUGACUCCAGACAGAAGGAAGCAGAGGAACACGCAUCUCUCGUGCAGGAGGAAAACUGGAGCAAGGAAAGCUUCUUGGCUUGAAAACCAGCUUAGAGUCUCCUUUUGCCAUAAUUUGUAGCU